rnacentral:rRNA from 1 species
CAGCAGCCGCGGUAAUACGGAGGGUGCAAGCGUUAAUCGGAAUUACUGGGCGUAAAGCGCACGCAGGCGGUCUGUCAAGUCAGAUGUGAAAUCCCCGGGCUUAACCUGGGAACUGCAUUUGAAACUGGCAGGCUAGAGUCUUGUAGAGGGGGGUAGAAUUCCAGGUGUAGCGGUGAAAUGCGUAGGGAUCUGGAGGAAUACCGGUGGCGAAGGCGGCCCCCUGGACAAAGACUGACGCUCAGGUGCGAAAGCGUGGGGAGCAAACAGGAUUAGAUACCCGUGUAGUCCCUGUCUCUUAUAC